GUUUGGUCUAGUGGUAUGGUUCUCGCUUCGGGUGCGAGAGGUCCCGAGUUUGAUUCUCGGAACA
rnacentral:tRNA from 1 species